CCGAAUUUACAACUCCCAAACCCCUGUGAACAUACCUAUCGUUGCUUCGGCGGGAUGCCCCAGUUUGACGCAAGCUAGACCCAGGCGCCCGCCGGAGGACCCAAACUCUUGUUUUAUUUAUGUAUCUUCUGAGUAAACAAGCAAAUAAAUUA
rnacentral:misc_RNA from 1 species